GGGGAAGUUUGGAAAAAGGUGGGGGUCUAAAGAGUUUAGUGGCUCCUAUUUUUGGGGGAGCUGGUUAUCCAGUUUUUAGUAUAAAUAUUUUGCAUUAAAGGAGGAGGGAGGAGAAAAAAAAGAGGAGAACACGACAGAAGAAGAAAACUGUUGCAGAAGGAAAAUUGCAGGAGCACAAAUACAAGAGGAGAUUUUCACAGGUAUUUGGAUCCUGUCAAUUAAUUCUUGUUGGGUGGCAACCCUCAAAUCAUUUUUUCUUGGAUGAUGAAUCCAUAUUGGGUGGCAACCCUCAAAUAAAACUCUUGGAUGAUAAAUCCAUAAUGGGUGGCAACCCUUAAAUCAUGAACAAUAAAUCCAUGAAAGGAUUCCUGUUUAACAAAGCUCUGCCGAGCAAGAGGAAAUCCUUUGAAAUGGAGAUGGUGUUUGGAGGGUUAAUUCCAAAAAUGUACAAAAAAAAACAAGAGAGCGUGAAUUACCUCUUGGGCUUUCUCACCACUCCUCUCCAUCUCUGUUUAAGAAGGCCUAUAUUUUUCUCUCUGAGCAAACUACAUCAAAAAAAUGUAAAGGAUGUUAGUCAUGAAGAAAAGAAUAGGCAGAGAAAAAAUGGAGAUCUGUAAAACAAAGGGGAAAGAAAAUAGAGGCCAUAUUUUUCUGUCACAGCCUCUCUCAAGAGCACAAAUCCAGGUUGGGUACAAAACCCACAAACAAAAUCACUGAGGGUUUAAUCUCACAGCAAAUAAAAAAUAAACUGUGCUUGAAAAGGAAGACAACCAUGUUGGCUGUGGCUCGGCCUGAUGCUGCAGAUAGCAGCAGCAAAUAACAAAGAAGAAGGAAGACUCCUGUCGAAAGAGAAAAGGGGAGAAAGUUUCGGGGGUACGGUUGGCCACAACAAACAAAACUUAAAACUAGUUGGGCUCUGGGUGUGUGAAAGAAAUUUUAAAAAAAAAAAAGAGUGGCCACGUUUUGGUUGGCAGUUCCAUAUGGCAGCUUUGAAAAGAAAAGGAAAGAAGGUGGCUGUACGCCACUUCGCUGGGUUAAAAGGAGCACAACUUGGGAAGGGCCACGUUGCCCAUGCAUUGAAUCCCCCAUUCAUUGGUUUCCUAGCAAACAGCCAAAGUGCAGAGCAUGAUAUAUGACAAUUAAAAAACAAGUUUUGCUACAGCCAUAGAAAAAGAAGGAGAAAAGCCAACAAGCAAAAAAAAAAGGAAAAGGGAAGUGGCUGACGCCACUUAUUGAAAUUGGAAGAAAAGUAAAAUAAAUGGGACAAAAGACUUGGUGUUGCAGAGAAAGAGAAGAAGAAAAGUCAACAAGUAACAAAAGAAAAGAAAAGGGGAGUGGCUGUACGCCACUUUGGUUAUUUUGCACAUGGAUGAAGCCUUGAGGUCAGGCUAACAGGAAGGAAAAGAUGUCAGUUUAGGUGAAGGGGUAAACUGUGACCAACAAAGAAGAGCCGUACCUUGUGGAGGUUUUCUUGUGAAAAAGUCUGACAGUGAGGCAGUAAAUAGUUAAUGGCAUGAAGUUUGAGCCAGGGUCAGUCUGGCACUCUAAAUAGAGCAGAAGUGUCUUGGCAGUAGCGUAACUCUUCUCCAAGUCAGAAAUUACGAGUCCUUUACAGUCUCUAUCUCUGAAGUCCUAGUUCAAUUGUGAUUGGUUUUCGAUAAACCAAAUGAGCACAAACCAACAGAUAAAAAAAUAUAUAUGUGUUAAAGGGCUCAUAGUCAAAUUACUAAGUUAUAUACCCUGUAAUUCUUAAAGGCCCAAUAUAUUUAGUGGGUGGCCAAAUAAUUACCCAUUAAAUUUAUAGAGGUCUAGAUUUCUUAUUUCCUAUCAUAUGGUUAAUGGAUUAAUUCAACAAUCCUCAUAGCCAUAUUUGGGCCCAAAUGCAAUUGUCAAUUGUAGAAAAUUAGUGGGUUCAUUAAAAUGGCUCAUUAUUUUUCUUGGACAUUGACAAUAAGAAAAAUGGUACAAAACCAUCUAAUUUUUCUCAUGGGUCAUCUACCCAUGCAAAUUUCAAUGAGAUUAAAUCCAAAUCUCUCAAAUACAAAUUCUCAAUUAGCGGGCCACACUUACCCAUUAAUUUUCAAUUUUUCUCAUAGGUCAUCUACUUAUGAAAAUCUUCAAAUCGUCUCAAAGACACCAACUCUAAAUUAUUGGGCCACACUUACCCAUUAAUUUCUAAAUUUUGGAACUACGUCGGUUUGAUCCCCGUUAAGGGUACGUAGGCAGUCUAACAUCUCAAUAGGCGCAACCGCAACCAAUUUGAAUCACUGGUUACAUCAACCAAAUUCCCCCAAAAUCAAAUAUCUACCUUUACACAAAUCAAAUUCGAACUACGUUGGUUUGAUCCCUUUAAAAGGGUACGUAGGCAAUCUAGAGAUUCAAUCUUGAUGCAACCAUCCCAAACAUAUUUCCAUAUCGAAUCCCUGGUUUAUUCAGCUAAAUUCACUCAAACUCCUCAAUUAAACCCAUUCAAAUUCUUCGUUUUGUGAUGAGUCAUUUAUUCAUCAUGAAUCUUUGAACUACGAGUGGCUUGAUUCCUGCAAAGGAUACGUAGGCAUCCUGAGGUUGGACUUGGGAGUAGCUGCAAAAUCAAAACACACACGUUCUGUUUCUUUAUGAUGGAAUCAAAGGGUUUUCCCUUGAAGCAAGGGAUUGUAAUUAAGAGACUUGCGUCUCGAAUGGGUCGAACCUAAAAUAAUAAAACCCCAUUAUUUAAUUAGUGGUGGUGAAAUUAUAUUAGGAAGAUCACCAUUUUCCUUCAACAUAAUUUUUGGCACGCCCGGUGGGACCCAUUUACCUUUUCAUCUCCAAUCAUAAAGUGACUAAUGUUUGUUUUAUUUAUUUGUGUUUUUCAUCAGGUUAACAAAACCAGAUACGAUGGCACCACAAGUAACGAUUUUCUUUCACAAAAUUGAAACUACCAAGAAUGCGUGCACCAAACGAGUAGGGUUCAAAAAGACUUUCAUUGUUGGUGAGAGCCUCAUCAAGUGCACUGUGCCAAAGCCCAUUCAGAGGGCCAGACCUCAGGUCACUCCUAAGGUCGUCAAGACCCAAUUGAAGAAAACUGCGUCCAAGAACGCUCUCCGAAAUGGAAGAAAGAGGGCUGCGCGUGCUUUAAGAAAGAAAGAAGCAAAAAAGGAGUCUAUUGAGGCAAUCUUAUCCCAGCUUUCUGGGACAAGCCCAAUAAUGACUGAGGGCAAGAACACCUUAACCACCCUGGCUGUGCCGACUCCCAAGAGAACAAAUACUUCCCAAUUUGUCCAAAUCAUGAUUGGAUCAAUUCCAGUCAACCUAUAUCCUACAGAUUCUGUUCUGAUGACUUCCACCAACGAAGCUAGAGAUGAAGGUCAAAAGGACGACUUCGUGAAGAACGUCGAGGUCCAAGAGGCCGAACCUCCAUCAAGCCUUAGAGCCCAUGUUGUGGAAUCCACAUUACAAGAGGUUUACCCAUGUUCUUCUAAGGGUAAAAGCAGAGCCACCGUCAUGAAAAAAAAGGUGGUGAACAUACCUCAUCCACAAAGGAAACGCGUGAAAAAGGUGAAGAUAACUGAUGUUUCAAGGGAUCAGAUUCCCGUAUCACAAGGGGGAGUCCCAAAACCUCAAGAUCAGUCGAGGACCUACGUGGGUCCAUUGACUCGUUCUAAAUCCCGAAACAUGGUUGGGACGAUUAUUCCCGAGUUAUCCAGUCUAAGCUCAACCUUGGUUGAUUAUUUGCAAUGGAAUCCUCUCUAUGAUGAUCCUGUAUCUCAAACUCAAGAGAAUGAUUGUAUAUCAUCCCAAGGGGCCAAACUUCAUGAGGGAGUGGAAAGCAUGCAAGUCAUGAUGACUGGUACUUCUAAUACUGAGGACCAGUUACCUUUAAUCCAAGAAAUGAUGCAAGACCUGCGAAGGGAAAUGCAGCAGAAGUUGGCAGAAAAAGACGCGGAAAUAGCGUUACUAUCCGCUCGGCUGAAAGGAAAAAACAUCAUAGGUGAGCAAGACAUGAGCAAAACAAAUGAAUCGACCGCCCAAGAACAACAAACAAAAGAGGAAAAAGCAGAAAGCUCUACGAGCACAAUUUCCCCAAAUGACAUAAAGGUGUUAAUUGCUGAAGGAAUUCGUGAGUUCCAAUUGUCUAUAGCACCUCCUGUUCAAGGGUAUCGAAAACCUUUCCCUUCUCACUAUGACGCCAUACCAUUCCCGAAGGGUUAUCAACGGCCUAUAUUUGAUAAAUUUGAUGGCAUAAGUAGCUCACCCCAUGAACAUUUGGCACAUUUUUACUCAGCAUGUGGCGAGACAUCUCAGUCAGACGCUUUUCUGGUGCGUCAAUUUGUCCAAUCCCUAAAAGGGUCAGCUUUCACUUGGUAUACACAACUGCCACCAGGUUCUAUCCUGACAUGGGACGACAUGCAAAAAGCAUUUUUGGCACAGUUUGUGAGUUCAAAGAAGAAGGUCUCGAUCAUGGACCUAGCCCAAACUACCCAAAAGCCAGGGGAAAGUGCUAAUGACUUCAUAAUGAGAUGGAGGAGCCUCAAUCUUCAAUGCCCGGAGAAAAUUACUGAGCAAUCAGCCGUGCAAAUGUGCUAUAACAACCUCAUACCAGAUAUUGCGACUUUUGUUGCCACUGCUGAACCCCAAUCAUUUGAUGCCUUGGUGUCAAAGGCGAGCAAUGUUGAAAGACAAAUUGCUCGUCAAAAGUCCGCGACCCAAAAAAUUCAAUUUGGGGAGAAGAAAAAUGACAAGAAGUCUGCAAAGGGAGAGUCAUUGGCCACUUUUGUCAAAACAGAAACGAGAAAUGACAAAGGCCAAAGCAAAGACCCACCCAAAAGGCUCACUCUCAAAGAGCGCAAAGAGGUUAAAUAUUCUUUCAACGAUGAGGAUGUAGAAGAAAUCUUUGACCAACUUUUGGCCUCCAAUGGUAUUGCUUUGCCAGAAUCAAAGCGUCCUGCUGAGGCUAACAAGACAAAUGACCCUAGGUAUUGUCGGUAUCAUCACCUCAUCAGUCAUACGCUCAAGGAUUGUUAUAUCCUGAAAGACAAAAUUCAAGAGCUCCUCAACAAUGGUGGCUUGGUGAUAGACUCUUCUCCCCAACAUCAUUCAGCUGCGGCAAAUAUGAUAGUGGAAAAGCUCACACCUACCACUACACCACUAGACGGAGUGAAACUUGCAGGUAUUAAUACUGACAAUGAGGGUACAAUUGUGCAUGCCUAUCCAAAUGCACCGUGGUUUAGUGAUCUUCAAAUUCCCGCUCUUCAUGAGCUUAUGACUGCACCCAGUCUAGAGGUAUGGGAAGAUUCUUCGGCCGACGAAUCUGCUGAGGGGUGGAAGACAUUUGUUAAAAGAGCCAAGCACAUGGCCAAACAUUUCCCACCCAAUCACAAAUCUGUUUCUCGUCCUGGUGUCAAGAUUCGAGGCAUGCCAGCCUUAAAAAAUAAAAGGAAGAAGAAGAAGGUGCAAAAGAAGGUUCAUAUCCCUCAAGAGGAUGAAUAUGAGCAACCCGCAAGGGUCCCUGUCACACUCACUGAAUUCUUGCCAGUUGAGUUCUUCUCGAGUGAAUCCGAGGUUGAGGAAGAAAUUAUCCAAUGCAAUAUGGUUUCUGUGGGAGAAUAUGAGGUUGACACAGAGAUUGAUGAGAUUAACCUCCGCUCCGGUCGGAGCAUCCCAUCUGCCAAUAAACAACAAGAAAAUGAGGAAGCUGAUCCCUUUAAAAUCGAGAAGAAGUCAAAGGCGAAAGAGAUUAAGGUCUCCUUGUCGGAAAAAGCUGUUGCAAGGGAAGUUCCACCGUCCUCUUCAAAAGCAAAAGACCUUGAGCCCGACACUAGUAAAACAAAAGAGCCUUCACAAUCACAUGCACUUAAGUAUGAUAUCUGGGCUCAUCUUAAGCGCAUCCCCGCUCCUUUAAGUGUUUAUGACGCUUUACAAAUGUCGAGAGAGCUUAGAGAAGCACUUGUAAUGGCUUUAAAGAGCCCGGAUUUGUACAAAUCAUGUUUCAAAUCAGUAGAGGUCCACACAACUGAAACCUCGAAGUUUUGUGCAUCGUGUCUGGCAGCAAUUACCUUCGGUGAAGAUGACUUCUUACUUGGAUCCAAAUUCCAUAAUCGACCUCUUGCGAAGUUGGAGGCACGAUCAUCAAUCGAAUCUUGUUAGAUUGUGGUUCGGCUGUGAAUCUUAUCCCUUUAAAGACACUUCAUGCUAUAGGGAUGAGUGCCCGACAAUUAUCUCCAUCUAUGCUGACUAUUCAAGGGUUCAAUCAACUUGGGCAAAAAGCCAUGGGUUCUAUCGCACUGCAAGUGGAAAUAGGGGAACUAUAUUCAGAUGCCAUAUUCCAUGUGAUCGAUGCUGACACUUCAUACAAUGUUCUCCUAGGACGCCCAUGGCUCCAUACAUAUGGCGUAGUCCCUUCCACACUUCACCAGUGCUUCAAAUACUCGAUGGAUGGGGAAGUCAAGAGCGUUUCAGCUGACAUGGACCCAUUCAGAGGCGAAGAGGUAAAUUACUCGGAUGCAAAAUUUUACAGUCCACUAGGUAUCUCAUUCACACAGCCAUCAAAGGUUGAUAAAGAGGAAAGAGUGACUGUUGAAACGGGAAAGGCACAAAAGGUAGAAGUACCCAAACCUUCAAACGUAAUUCGAGUGAAGCUAAAACCUCGUGGUACGCCAUUCUCAAAAGUGGAAGAAAUCCCGACUGCAAAGGCUCCCAAGCCAAAGAUAAUUAUCAAGACUUCAAAAAAGGAGCCUAGUGAAAAGGAAACAAGUUCCUCGAAACAAACAAUGGAGUCACUGAUGACGGCAAGCUACAUUCGUCCUCUUCGUAAGAUCAAUCAGUCUAUCCCAGGGGACGAUUUGGUCAUUUCGACUACUUUUGGCAAAAACAAGGGCCUGAGUAAACGUAUAGUUCUUCACAAAAAAGAAUCAUUGCCAGAAACAACAUUUACUCCAUUAAAGAUAAAACUUACAGGCCGUAAAACAAAGAAAAGCAAUGCUAGCCUCACAGUUCAAAAUGAGAGUGGUGUGCUCAAAGUGUUUCUUCGAAGGCCACAGCUGGAAGUUUCCGAGUCUGAGAUACUCACUAAUAUGGAACAAGCUAUGUUUAGAGAAGAUGAGGUGAAUAUAAGGCCGCUACGCGUCUCUGUGUUCAAACGCUUAGGGAGCAGACAGCCAUCCCGCAUCUCAGUCUUUCACCGCUUGGAAAACCCUCCCAAUUCUCAACAAGGGAAAGUCCAUAAUAAAAGGAAAUGGAAGGUUAGGAGUCAAGAGAAAGCCGUGAUCGAGAAGGUCAAAAGGGUGAAAAUAAAGGAUGACCUUGUCCAAGUCAAUUGCACCUCUUUCAAAGAAGCAGUGGGCCAAGAUGAUGAUCCUCAAGAUAUCGAGGGAUUCAUUGACAUAGUCCAACCAGCUCCACCCCAAAUGGAGGAGGGUGGUCAAGCCACAAUUGAUGAUCUGCAAGAAAUUAAUCUUGGUACAGUUGACGACCCAAAACCUAUCUUUGUCAGUGCUUCGUUAACGCCGCAAGAGUUAGAAGAAUACACAUAACUGUUGCAAGAGUACCGAGACAUAUUUGCAUGGAGUUAUCUAGACAUGCUAGGGUUAGACCCAAACGUUGCAGUUCACAAACUUGGGAUACCUAACGAGGUUCGAUGGGUGAAGCCAGCGCCACGCCGUUUUCGGCCAGAGCUAACAAUCCAAAUAGAAAUUGAGAUUGACAAGCUUAUUGCUGCCGGUUUUAUUCGAGAAGUCCACUAUCCCACUUGGUUGUCCAAUAUUGUUCCAGUACUUAAAAAAAAAACUGGGGCACUGCGUAUAUGCGUGGACUAUAGAGAUGUCAAUGACGCAUGCCCAAAAGAUGAGUUUCCGCUCCCAAUCACAGAAUUAUUGGUAGAUGCAACAACCGGUUUUGGUGCUCUAUCGUUCAUGGAUGGAUUCUCAGGUUACAACCAAAUAAAAAUGGCUCCAGAGGAUCAAGAAAAAACUGCCUUCCGCACUCCAAAAGGAAUAUAUUGCUACACUGUGAUGCCUUUUGGGUUGAAAAAUGCUGGGGCAACUUACCAAAGAGCUAUGACAACAAUUUUCAAUGACAUGCUUCACAAUACUAUUGAGUGUUACGUUGAUGAUUUGGUGGUUAAAACCAGGAAAAGGGAACAUCAUUUGAGUGACUUAAAACGAGUUUUUGAUAGACUCCGAAAGCACCAGUUGAAAAUGAACCCCUUGAAGUGUGCAUUUGGGGUAACUUCAGGCAAAUUCCUUGGCUUCGUUGUCCGACAUCGAGGAAUUGAAAUUGAUCCCUCAAAAAUCAAGGCAAUCCGUGAAAUGCCUCCCCCUCAAAAUUUAAGGGAGUUGCGAGGGUUGCAAGGGAGACUAGCCUAUAUACGACGGUUCAUCUCAAAUCUUUCUGGAAGGUGCCAACCAUUCUCGAGGCUCAUGAAGAAGGAUGUUCCAUUUGUAUAGGAUCAAGCAUGUCAAAAUGCCUUAGAAAGCAUUAAACAAUACCUAUUAAAUCCGCCAGUUCUUAUGGCGCCAAUUAAAGGGAAGCCCUUAAUCUUGUAUAUUGCAGCGUUAGAACGCUCGUUGGGGGCAUUGCUCGCUCAACACAAUGAUGAUGGAAAGGAAAAUGCACUCUACUACUUGAGUAGAACACUCGUAGGGGCAGAACAAAAUUACACCCCUAUCGAAAAGGUCUGCCUUGCAUUAGUGUUUGCUGUCCAGAAACUACGACACUACAUCCUCUCUCAUAGAGUCAUCUUGAUUUCCAAGGCAGAUCCGCUCCGAUAUUUAAUGUCCAAGCCUGUGCUCUCUGGGCGAAUAGCCAAGUGGUCACUCCUCCUCUCUGAGUUUGAGAUAAAAUUUGUGCCACAAAAGGCGAUCAAAGGGCAAGCUCUUGCCGAUUUCUUGGCUGCUCAUCCUACUCCCGACAACAUGGAGUUACCUGCAGAUUUGCCUGAUGAGGAGGUGUUCACAAUAGAAGCACUUACAUGGCAACUAUAUUUUGAUGGGGCAGCAAGAAGAAACGGAGCUGGGGCAGGAUUAGUAUUCAUCACGCCGUCUGGGGGCUUAAUCCCAUACUCAUUCUCCUUACUAACUUUAUGUUCGAAUAAUGUGGCAGAAUACGAGGCACUCAUCAUUGGCCUUGAAAUUGCCCUCGAGAUGCAUAUUGAUUGUUUGCAAGCAUAUGGUGAUUCACAGUUGGCCGUCAGACAGUUGAAUGGUCAAUAUGCAGUCAGAAAUGCUACUCUCGUCCCAUACCAUGAAAGGGCGAAGUAUCUCAUGUCACAGUUUCAAGACAUUCAUGUUAGUCACAUCCCGAGGUCGGAAAAUGAUAAAGCUGAUGCACUAGCUAAUUUGGCUGCAUCGUUAACACUACCUAGCGAAAGGGAUAUCCAAGUCACCGUUGGGGAACGUUAUUUGCUACCCCCAGCUAUAGAGAGAAUUGAAGAAGUUGUGGAUUCAAACGUUAUCACGUCCUCCGAAUGUGAGGAGGAACCGGAUGAUCUUGAUUGGCGCCAUCCCAUAAUCGAGUAUCUACUACUUGGCAAGUUACCAAAUGACUCAAGGAAAAAGGCUGAAGUCCGACGCAGAGCCACUCGAUUUCUGUACUUAAAUGAUACCUUGUACAAAAGAUCAUUUGAUGGUAUGUUGUUAAGGUGUCUGUCGAAACAAGAUGCAACUAAGGCCCUUCAUGAUACUCAUGCUGGCACUUGUGGUGCUCAUCAAGCUGGUCCAAAACUUUCGAACCAACUGAAGAGAUUGGGUUAUUACUGGCCAACAAUGGUCCGAGACUCAAUAAAAUUUGCAACCACAUGUAAAGAUUGCCAAUUACAUGGAGAUUUUAUUCACCAACCUCCCCAACAAUUGCAUCCGACAACUUUGUCUUGGCCAUUUGAAGCUUGGGGUUUAGAUGUUAUUGGCAUGAUAAAGCCUAAGUCAUCACGUCAACAUCAAUACAUCUUGGCCGCGACUGAUUACUUCUCUAAAUGGGCUGAAGCAAUUCCUUUAAAGGAGGUACGAGCAGACGAUGUUACAAACUUCAUAAGGAACCACAUCAUCUACCGUUAUGGGGUUCCAUCGAAGAUUAUAUCUGACAAUGCAUUGUAUUUCAAAUGCAAGUCCAUGACCAAGUUGUGCGAGAAGUAUAAGUUUCAACACUCGUUCUCCGCGAGUUACAAUCCGUCGUCAAAUGGUCAAGCUGAAGCUUUCAAUAAAGUAUUGUGCAAUAUCCUAAAGAAGAUGGUCUCAGGAAACAAAAGAGAUUGGCAUGAACGCCUCCCUGAAGCAUUAUGGGCUUACAGGACGACCAUACGCAACUCAACAGGAUGUACACCGUACAAUUUGGUGUUUGGUUCUGAGGCGGUUCUACCGUUAGAAGUCCAAUUGCCAUCGUUAAGGGUAGCAUUACAGCUAACAAACCCCGACGAGAACGCAAAUGUGAGGCUGGCAGAAUUGGAAGCUCUCGAUGAGAAAAGAUUGGCGGCUCAACAAAGGCUCGAAAUAUAUCAGGCUCAGGUGGCAGGGGCAUUCAACAGAAAAGUUAAGUUCAGAUCUUUCUCAAUUGGAGAUUUGGUUUUAACUGUCCGAAGACCCUUCGUCAUUACUAGGAAAAUGCAUGGUAAGUUUGAACCUAAGUGGGAGGGGCCCUACGUCAUUACUAAGGUUUUCUCCAAGGGUGCCUACGAGUUGUCAAACUCUGAAGGCAAGUGCAUAUAUCCUUGUGUGAACGGGAAAUUCGUCAAGAAAUUUUACGCCUGAUGUUAAAAAAAAAAAAAAAAAAAAAAAAGAGACCCGUUGGACUGAAAACCCAAAAGGGCUGUUCAAGCAAAAGUUAGGGUAAAUUAAAAAAUGCUCGUUGGGCUGAAAACCCGAAAGGGCGGCCCAAGCAAAAUUAGAGCACAAAGAAAAAAUAAAAUAAAAAAUUUGGAUUGAAAACCCGAAAGGGCGGCCCAAGUAAAGAACUACGGUUGACUUGAUCCCUAAAAAAGGGGUACGUAGGCAGUCUAGUCUCUAAAAAGCUAGAUUCAGUCACAAGACCCCAAAUCCCCCUUCAUUACCUCAAUUCAAGGAGGGUGAACUACAUUCGGCUUGAUCCCUUCACAGGGUACAUAGGCAAGCUAGCCCAAAAGCUAGACGCAGCCGUAAACUAUCAUGAAUUCAUUCUUGUCCACCGAUGGUGUUAGCACGUGGUUAAACUGUUGUAUACUACGCCAAAAAAAAAAAAAAAAAACUCCAACUUCGCACGAGUAUAAACUGUGAAAUAGAAAAGCAAAUCCAACAAAAUCUUUAUUCUGAAAAUUGUUCUUGGUGGAAAAACUACAUUACAAGAGCAAAAGAAUACUGAAGUAAAGGCCUACCUACAAAUUCUUGGUGGAAACCAUACCACAAGAACAUUUAUUGAAGGGAAAAAUCAUGCUAAAUAAAAAAAAAAAAAAUAAUGAUAGUAGGCUCAUCACUUAGAGCUCGCUACAAGAAGAAAACAAGGCAUUGAUUAGGCGGUGGAUCUCUCUCUCUUGAGCCUUCAUUGACAGUCGAGUGCUCCUGAUCUGGGGAAGUAGAUCUUCUUUAGCAUCAAUUCUGGAUUGUUGAAGCUGUAUUGCUUGUUCAUUCUGAUGCUCCAAAGAAAUCUCCAAGUUCAUCUUUUGCAUAUUAAGGGAAGUUUUCUUAGCUUCAUGCUCUUCCCGCAUCUGGCGAACUCUCUCUUCUGCUUCCCUGAUGGUAACUUCCCUGACAUCCAAGCCUUCAAUCUCUUUAGCAACUUCUGUAAGUUCUGCCUCAAGAGCCAGCUUGGUGUUUAAACAUUCCUCGUGUUGGCGGAUCAAAUCAUGAAUCACAUCAAUAUUCACAUCUCCUAAGGCUUCAAUAUAGGCACUGCUCUUGGAAUGUCGCCUGGCAAGCUCAAAAAUCCAAUCCACAAGCUGGGUAAACUGCUUAAAUGCAGUUUCACCACACUCAAGAAUGUCAACGGUUGACCCCAAAAGUCGAAGGGCCUUGAUGAUCUCAGAAUGGUGCAUAUGAAGUUGAGCAGGUGUCUCUGAGGAGUAAAGUCUGCUAAAGAUACCUUCAAUUUCUUUACUGAUAAACUCCCGCCUAUUCUGGUUUACCCCAUUCCCAAAAAUCUGACGAACAAAGUUCUCGACUGAUACCAAAUUUUGGAGGGGUCGCACAACUGCUAUAGGCCCAACACUUUCAGGAAACUGAUCAUCAGCUGGGCUAUUCUGAACUUGUUGAAAUUCAGACACUUCAGCCAGGAAGUUUGACCCACUACCACCCAUGCUGGAGUUAGCACUCUCAUGAUGAAUAUUUUCCUCUUCACUUGAAGAAAUGACUUCAAAGACUGGUUUAUCCACGUUAAUAGGCUCCAUUUCGCGAGGAAAAAGGAUGUCGUCAAAUCUCGUUUCCCCCUGCACCGGAUUAGAACUCUCUUCGUCAAGAACAUGGCUAGAGCUUCCAUCCUCAACCUUUUUGUGAUCUGCAUGUCGCGCCCGUUUGUGGUGUGAGUCUCGAUUAAUCCUUUGGGAUUGGUGCAUCACGUGAUUAACCCCUGAGAAAUGUUCCCCUUUAGCAUUGUGAAUUCUCUUCUUGUGUCCUCUGUUCGAAGAAGCACCACGAGGAAGUGAAGAUGAAUUAAAGCCGCUUUUGCUCAUGCCGGUCGAAAUACUUUUCAAAUUAUCAAUCACAAAGACGUGGUCCCUCCUCGGGACAUGCUUGUCUACCACUGAGAAAAUUUUUGACACAGAAAAGCCCAUAUAAGGUGCACAUGCAGUCAUCCACCAUCUACAAUACCACCAAGAGCAUUCCCCAAUGCGGGUGGAGCGCGGAAUAUAGAAACGCGCUGUGGUAUCUUUGCGCAGAAGGACUGCUUGGGCUCUCGCCAACUUCUCAAUCCCGCAUCGCUGCCUCUCACAUACACUAAAUAAAAGUUUGUUCUCCGGAACUCCUUGAUCAAAGCCAAACUGGCGAGCAAAUCUAUUUGGGUAGUAAGGCUCCAACCAAAGAUCGCCACCUAACCUUACAGGAAGCAGUGCAGAGCGCAUACAAACCAAGAAUUCAAAGGCAUCGUCCGCAAGGCUCUCUGUGUCUAAAAGAAUGCAAUCUUCUUGUGCAAGGAAGACACUGGGGCGAUAAACCAUAAGCUCACUCCUGAAGAUGAUUCUAGCUUGAUUAGAGCUGACAUAUUUGGCUUCAAUCUGACUAUAUCUCGCUAGAAGAGGGUAAUGUGCUGGAAAAUCAUUGUCACUCCGACGGUCGAUCAGAUCAGGAAAGUGCUCCCCUAACCAUCCAAUCACAUAAUGAAUGGGAAGAUAUGCAUUUGCUAAACCAGGACCCCUACGAUGAGUAGCAACUGUACCGAGGGCAUGAUAAAUAAGUCCCAACACUGCUGGAGCAAGUGAAACUCUAAACCCUCUCGCCAUCAAACUUGCCAUAUAGAAACAUUCUGGCCUUAUAGCAUUAUCAAGGGGCAAAACAAAAUGGCUAAGCCAAAAGGCUAAAAAAGCAGCCAAUUGUCCUUCACGUGAAAUGUUCAAGGGAAAUUUGAGGUCUUUGGCCUUAUGUUUGGGAACUAUGUUAUUUUUACUCCCCGCAGCACCAUAUAUGGCUUCCCCUCGAAAGAAAUGCUCAAUCCAUUGAUCGUGGAAAACUUGCCCUUUCUUAUGGAAAACACAUAGUUGAGCAUGGAUUUUUAAAAGUUCACCAAUGGUUGAAGGAUACAAGUCUUCACGGCAUAAUUCUCUGUUUAAAGGGAUAAAUUCAUCAUAGGGGAGACCCAAAAUUGGUAACCCGCCAAUAACUUUUAGGUCGUAUAAGGAAAUGCCCAUUUCACCGUUCCCGUGAUGAAAUGUGUUGGAUAAAGGCCCCCAUAACUCGCAGAAUGCUCUCCAAACAUUAGGGCAAAAAUCAUAGGAGUACCGAGAAAUGGCCACAGCCCCAUAUAUAUCAGCUUGACGAAGGACAUCACCAAAGUCACUCAAAAUAGACUCCGUCCACUCCAGUACAAAGGAUCGAAAGUUAGCCCGACCGAAAAAUUUGAAAUUGCUUCCCCACGAAAUUUGGUUACGAAGCAUCCUGUGCAUAAUCGGAUAAAAUUCAUCUCUAGGAAGACACUGCUUAUCUCCAUCAAUCUCAUUGUUUACUUUCAUCAAAGAAUGGGCCAGAAAACAUGGGCCCUUGGCUUGAGAAAUUUGAAUAACUCGGUCUUCUUCAUGGGGGUUGAAUUUGAGAUGUCCACUACUCACGUGAUCUGUGGUGAACCAUGUUGUCCGACUCUCAGGUGGUACCAUAAGCCUGAUCGAAUUCAGAGGACAAGAUCUCAUGUACUGGGGGCCAAAGGCCAUGGCCCUACCAUAUUCAUCGGAAGCAUGUUCCUUGUGAAGAUUUCCAUAAGCAUCCAUCACCUGAAAUCAAAGGUAGAAAAAAAAAAAAAAAAAAAAAACAUAUACAUAUGUUAGCUUAUAAUGAUAGUCAAAGGCAUCUCAAGCUUUGCACGCGUAAAAAUAAAAAAAAAUGCCACACGCACAAAGCUUGAGGGGGCAUCUGUUGGAAUAAAAAAAUCACAAAAAUCACAAAAUAUUGGAACGUGGGGGGAAGUUUAAAAAAGGUGGGGGGAAGUUUGGAAAAAGGUGGGGGUCUAAAGAGUUUAGUGGCUCCUAUUUUUGGGGGAGCUGGUUAUCCAGUUUUUAGUAUAAAUAUUUUGCAUUAAAGGAGGAGGGAGGAGAAAAAAAAGAGGAGAACACGACAGAAGAAGAAAACUAUUGCAGAAGGAAAAUUGCAGGAGCACAAAUACAAGAGGAGAUUUUCACAGGUAUUUGGAUCC
rnacentral:lncRNA from 1 species